GACGAACGUUGGCGGCGUGCUUAACACAUGCAAGUCGAACGGAAAGGCCCUGCUUUUGUGGGGUGCUCGAGUGGCGAACGGGUGAGUAACACGUGAGUAACCUGCCCUUGACUUUGGGAUAACUUCAGGAAACUGGGGCUAAUACCGGAUAGGAGCUCCUGCUGCAUGGUGGGGGUUGGAAAGUUUCGGCGGUUGGGGAUGGACUCGCGGCUUAUCAGCUUGUUGGUGGGGUAGUGGCUUACCAAGGCUUUGACGGGUAGCCGGCCUGAGAGGGUGACCGGCCACAUUGGGACUGAGAUACGGCCCAGACUCCUACGGGAGGCAGCAGUGGGGAAUAUUGCACAAUGGGCGGAAGCCUGAUGCAGCAACGCCGCGUACGGGAUGACGGCCUUCGGGUUGUAAACCGCUUUCGCCUGUGACGAAGCGUGAGUGACGGUAAUGGGUAAAGAAGCACCGGCUAACUACGUG
rnacentral:rRNA from 1 species